rnacentral:rRNA from 1 species
UACCGCCCUAGUUCUGACCGUAAACUAUGCCAUCUAGCGAUCCGAUGGGGUAUUGUUGCCUUGUCGAGGAGCUUCCCGGAAACGAAAGUCUUUCGGUUCCUGGGGUAGUAUGGUUGCAAAGCUGAAACUUAAAGAAAUUGACGGAAUGGCACCACCAGGAGUGGAGCCUGCGGCUUAAUUUGACUCAACACGGGAAAACUCACCCGGCCCGGACACCGUAAGGAUUGACAGAUUGAAAGCUCUUUCUCGAUUUGGUGGUUGGUGGUGCAUGGCCGUUCUUAGUUGGUGGAGCGAUUUGUCUGGUUUAUUCCGAUAACGAGCGAGACUCUAGCCUGCUAAAUAGUGGCUGGAUUUUCACGUCCAGUCUACUUCUUAGAGGGAUAAGCGGUGUUUAGCCGCACGAGAUUGAGCGAUAACAGGUCUGUGAUGCCCUUAGAUGUCCGGGGCUGCACGCGCGCUACAAUGGAAGAAUCAGCUGGCCUAUCCAUUGCCGAAAGGCAUUGGUAAACCGUUGAAACUCUUCCGUGACCGGGAUAGGGAAUUGUAAUUAUUUCCCUUGAACGAGGAAUUCCUAGUAAGUGUGAGUCAUCAGCUCACGCUGAUUACGUCCC